rnacentral:rRNA from 1 species
UACGGGGGGUGCGAGCGUUGUCCGGAAUCACUGGGCGUAAAGGGCGCGUAGGCGGCUUUGUGCGUCACCCGUGAAAGCCCCCAGCUCAACUGGGGAGGGUCAGCGGUAACGGCCGUGCUUUGAGUGCAGGAGAGGGAAGUGGAACUCCGGGAGUAGCGGUGAAAUGCGUAGAGACCCGGAGGAACACCAGUGGCGAAGGCGGCUUCCUGGUCUGCGACUGACGCUGUGGCGCGAAAGCUAGGGGAGCAAACGGG